CACGUAGGGCGCAAGCGUUGUCCGGAAUUAUUGGGCGUAAAGAGCGCGCAGGCGGUCGAUCAAGUCGAGUGUGAAAGCCCCCGGCUCAACUGGGGAGGGUCAUUCGAUACUGAUCGACUCGAAGGCAGGAGAGGGUAGUGGAAUUCCCGGUGUAGUGGUGAAAUGCGUAGAUAUCUGGAGGAACACCGGUGGCGAAGGCGGCAUCCUGGACCAACACUGACGCUGAGUGAGCGAAAGCCAGGGGAGCAAACGGG
rnacentral:rRNA from 1 species